rnacentral:lncRNA from 1 species
UUGGAAUUGCUAUUUCUGUGAUAAUUUGGGGAAAUUAAACCCUAACGAAGCAAAGUGAGAGGAAGAUUGCUAUUGGGUCUUGUCUAAGGAGUGUGUAGGGAUUCUUGUGUUGCUGUUGGCUUUCGCUUUGAAUUUGAUGACUGUGGGUUUUUGUUUUGAUUUUUUGGUUUCGUGAGUGGAGAGGAUUGUAAAGCAGAAACAGAAAGCGUGAUAGGAAAUGGAGGGAAGGUGUUUCAUGGUUGUUCUCACUGACAUUUUGUUUCUCUGUUCAUGCUUUAAGUUUCGUUUGAUUUUCGAACAUGCUGCAGUUUGAACUUUGAUGAACUGAGCUUUGCAAAUUAGACACCUGUCUCGUCAUCGGUUCAACGACGUUCUUUACUAUAGAACUUUGUGUUUUAUUGUUGCUGUUGUUGUAAGUUUUUCUUGAUUUUGCAGUGAGCCUUGACGAAAAGAAAAGGAAAAGCAAUGUUGAUUUCAUUCAAUGGCAUUAUUCUAAGAGGUAAAAACAAAUAAUCUGGACCAAAUUGAAACAAUCAUAUCACUAUUUUCAUUAAACAUAGGCUUUUUGGUUACGAAAGAUAGAGUUGCAUUUUAUUGCUUUAAUAUUAGAAAUUCCUUUACUUUAUAUUGGUAUUAAAGUUCUAGUUUAGAUAUGGAGAGGAGUUUAUUCUUUCUCUGCUUUUAUCAUAUUGCUAUUGAAUGAUGACAUUGGCAGUCAGUGUGUUAUCAAUAUUCUUUUUUAGGUUCUUGAUUGCAUUGAUAGAGUGGGGGUCUUUCCGCCUAUCGUAUGUAUUGGCUUGGCUUCGUCCAGAACCAAGGAGGCAUUCUGGCGGGCGCGUGCGUGUAGGAAGGCCAACCACUACAAACUACCACAGGAAGACAGGGAAGCCUCGGUGUGCCAUCAAAAUCGAUUUUUUUUAGAAAGUCUCAAAAUUUCAAUUUAAAUUUAGGUGUUAAAUUUAUCUAUGUAUAUUCUGUAACGCAAUUCAAGAGACUCCAUUAUCGUAUUUUUUUUUUAAACCAAUAUAAUAUUUGAUAGUUUUAACAAGUCAUAUGUAAUUGACAAUUUUAACCAUCAUAUUU